GACCAAGAGAAGUGCAAGUACAGAGGACCCUGGGAAUCCGCCCCGAUUUUUCAUCAUGACUGAUGUGGAUGAUAAAGAAGGACACUAAUGUUAUCAUAUAUGCAAGUGAGGAUGAAAAGGUAAGGUCAAACCUACUUUAUUUCUUAUAAGCUUACAUCUCACAUACACAAUUUUUUU
rnacentral:lncRNA from 1 species